GAAAUGCGAUAAGUAAUGCGAAUUGCAGAAUUCAGCGAGUCAUUGAAUUUUUGAACGCACAUUGCGCCCUGUGGUAUUCCGCAGGGCAUGCCUGUUCGAGCGUCAGUAACAACCCUCAAGCUUAGCUUGGUCUUGAGCCCCGCCAGUAACUCGGCAGGCUUUAAAAUCAGUGGCGGCGCCAUUGGGCUCUUAGCGUAGUAAUACCUCUCGCUAUUGAGUCCCUGUGGUAUGCUGGCCAGCAACCCCAACUUUCUAAGUUUGACCUCGGAUCAGGUAGGGAUACCCGCUGAACUUAA
rnacentral:misc_RNA from 1 species